GCGGAUAUGGUUAAAUGGUAAAAUCUCUCUUUGCCAAGGAGAAGAUGCGGGUUCGAUUCCCGCUAUCCGCA
rnacentral:tRNA from 1 species